AAAAAUUCCAAAUUAUAUAUCAAAAAAUUAAAUUAUUUCAUUUAUCUAAAAUCCUGUAAUUCAGUCCGACCCCUGUAUAUAACAAAAAAUAUUUAACAAUAUUAUCCUUUGUGUUCCAGAUUGUUUUUAUAUUAACAUAUAUUAUUUUUCUUUCUUUUAGGAAUGAGGAAUUAGGGGACUCGACAUUUGAUGUUCUACUUAAACACGUCUUGGUCUCAUGGCACUAAUGAGCUGUCCCACUUUCUCUAUCCUCCCAUUUCUCCUAAUUACAUAUAUAAUUAUGAUAUUAUUUUAUACGAAAGAUGUCAUAUUGCUUGACAAUGAUGACUUACAUACCUAGAAUUCCGAGCUACUACUGCCUAUUGGAGAAGGAGUGUGUGUGUCUAAUUAGAAAACCGUUGUGAUUGAUUCCAAGGGCGUGUUUCUUUCUCUCUCUCUUACUAAUAGAAUGGAUUUCAUCAUUAAAGAAAUUGGAUCAAAAAAGGAAUUCAAACAAACUGUCUCCUCACGCUAUGUUUAUUUCUAUAUUACAAUGUUAAUUCUUAUUGUUAAAUAUUUUUUUGCUUAUGCAUUUAAUCUUCUAUUGUUGAGUUUAUAAUAAAAUAGUUGAACCCA
rnacentral:lncRNA from 1 species